rnacentral:rRNA from 1 species
GAUGAACGCUGGCGGCGUGCCUAACACAUGCAAGUCGAGCGAACAGACGAGAGUUCUUGCACUCUCUGACGUUAGCGGCGGGCGGGUGAGUCACACGUGGGUAACCUACCUAUUAGACUGGGAUAACUUCGGGAAACCGGAGCUCAUACCGGAUAAUAUUUAUCUUCGCAUGAAGCAAUAGUGAAAGACGGUUCUGCUGUCACUUAUAGAUUGACCCGCGGUGUAUUAGCUUGUUGGGGAGGUAACGACUUACCAAGUCAACGAUACAUAGCCGAACUGAGAGGGUGAUCGGCCACCCGGGGAGUGAGACACCGCCCCGGCGCCUAAGGGAGGGAACAGAAGGGAAUGUUCCGCAAUGGGCGGAAAUCUGACAGAACGAGGGCGCGUGAGUGAAAGAAGUUUUCGGUGCGGAAAACCCUGUUGUGAGGGGAAAACAAGUUCCUUAGGAAACGAACCGUCCUUGACGGUACCUUACCAGAAAGCCACGGCUAACUACGUG